rnacentral:rRNA from 1 species
AACGAACGCUGGCGGCAUGCCUAACACAUGCAAGUCGAACGAGACCUUCGGGUCUAUUGGCGCACGGGUGCGUAACGCGUGGGAACCUGCCCUUAGGUUCGGAAUAACUCCCCGAAAGGGGUGCUAAUACCGGAUAAUGUCUUCUGACCAAAGAUUUAUUGCCUUUGGAUGGGCCCGCGUUAGAUUCGCUAGUUGGUAGGGUAAAAGCCUACCAAGGCGUUGAUCCAUAGCUGGUCUGAGAGGAUGAUCAGCCACACUGGGGGUGAGACACGGCCCAGAAUCCUACGGGAGGGAGCAGUGGGGGAUAUAGUACAAUGGGCGAAGGCCUGAUCCAGCAAUGCCCGGUGAGUGAUGAAGGCCUUAGGGUUGUAAAGCUCUUUUACCCGGGAUGAUAAUGACAGUACCGGGUGAAUAAGCACCGGCUAACUACGUG